UAAAGAUCUAUUUUGAUAUUGAAAUAUGAAAAAUCAGUUUAAAAUGUUAGUUCCUAUGGCUUUAUGAUGUAUUUAUAUGAAUUUAAAGCAAAGGUCAAAAUCUAGAAACGUCCUAUUAACCUAUGACCUUGACCUCAAUUUCAAGGUCACAAACCAAGGACCUUAAAUCAAAAGACCCUAGGUCUUUAAUAUGUUUGGUUAAUGAGUAAUAUCACUUUACGCGUAAUUCUAAAUGUAAGAUGGGCAAAAACUCCAUUUAUUGUCUGCGCACCCUUUCAACCAAAAUAUACAAGUAAGGACAUGUCGCAACUAACAAUUUAUGAAAAAUUAUUUGUCGAUAUGUCAUAAGGUAUUUGAAAAUAAGUGAAAAUAAGCCAAAAUCAAAAUUUAGAAUAUGACCUUGACCUUUGACCUUGACCUCAUUUUUAUUUUUUGGACCAAGGACCUCAAAUCUAAAGACCCUAGGUCUCUAUCACUUAUGGUUUACCAUUUAGAAAUGCAUAUCACUUAAUUUAAUGGAAAAGGGGGAAUAACUCUCAUAUGGAGUCUCCGUAAAGCUUCGGUCCAAAUGAAUAUCCUAAUCCUGAAGAUGUAACGAGCAAUUUGGUAAAAUAAAUUUGUCGUAAUCUUUAACGGUUGCGAAGGAGUAGUGGCCACAAGAAAAACAGUGUUUGGGGAGAUAACUCUUACAACGUAAAGUAUUUUGUUACACAGUUGUAAAUUUUUAAAGCGUAUAAACUAUACGAUACCAUAUUCCAAAUAUCUAAGCGACAUCUUUUGAAACAUCAAUACUACGCAAAGAAAAAAAUUAGGCGGAAGAAAAAAAAAAAAAAAUAAUAAUAAUAAUAAAAAACCAAUUGUUCAAAGAACAAUUGAAGGUCUUUCCACAAGUAAAGAUCUAUUUUAUUAUCAAAAUAUUAAAAAUCAAUCUAAAAUGUCAGUUCCUAUGACUUUAUAAUGUAUAAAUAUGAAUUUAAAGCAAAGGUCAAAAUCUAGAACGUCCUAUUAACCUUUGACCUUGACCUCAAUUUCAAGGUCACCAACCAAGGACCUCAAAUCAAAAGACCCUAGGUCUGUAAUAUGUAUGGUUAAUGAGUUAUAUCACUUUAGGCAUAAUUUUAAAUAUAAGAUGGGCGAAAACUCUCAUUUAUUGUUUACGCACCCUUCCAACCAAAAUUUAUAAGUUACAACAUGUCGCAAC
rnacentral:lncRNA from 1 species